CAAUAGCGUAUAUUUAAGUUGUUGCAGUUAAAAAGCUCGUAGUCGGAUUUUGGCUGAGAACGAUCGGUCCGCCGUUAGGUGUGCACUGAUUGGUCUCAGCUUCCUGGUGAGGAGGUGUGCUUCACGGCCACUUAGUCACCGUGGUUACUUUGAAAAAAUUAGAGUGUUCAAAGCGGGCUUACGCUUGAAUAUAUUAGCAUGGAAUAACACCAUAGGACUCCUGUCCUAUUUCGUUGGUCUCGGGACGGGAGUAAUGAUUAAGAGGAACAGUUGGGGGCAUUCGUAUUUCAUUGUCAGAGGUGAAAUUCUUGGAUUUAUGAAAGACGAACUUCUGCGAAAGCAUUUGCCAAGGACGUUUUCAUUGA
rnacentral:rRNA from 1 species